rnacentral:rRNA from 1 species
AUAUUCUUUAAACCUAAAGAGUUUGGCGGUAUUUUAUUCUUUUCAGAGGAAUUUGCCCCUUAAUCGAUAGUCCCCGUUUUAUCUUGCUUUAUUUAUUUAGUAUGUAUAUCGCCGUUAUAAGGUUAUUUUAUUAGAAUUAUUUUCUUUAAUCAUUAUUUUGAUUUAUUUCAGGUCAAGGUGCAGCUUAUGAUUUAGUGGAAGAGUGAAUUACAAUAUUUUAUGGGUAUACGGAUUUUAUAUUUAAAAUUUUAAUUAAGGUGGAUUUGAUAGUAAUUUUAAUGAUAGAGUUAUUUUGACUAUGGCCCUAUAAUAAGUACAUAUUGCCCGUCAUUCUCAUUAUUUGAGACAAGUCGUAACAUAGCGGUCGUACUGGAAGGUGUGUCUGGGAUUAAUUA